ACCCUCAAGGUUCCCCCCCUCUGCCGCUCUGCUCAACUCCAGAACAGUGAACCCACUCGUGACCAGUCCUGGACCUGAUAACUCUGUGUGCUUUUCAGAACCCAUUCGUGACCAGACAAAUUCCCCUCUGGAUCUGUUCAUUCAUUGUGCUUAAACUUUACAAUAAAUCUUUGAACUUUU